GACGAACCGUGCGAACGUUGUUCGGAUUCACUGGGCUUAAAGGGCGCGUAGGCGGGCGGGCAAGUCCGGGGUGAAAGCGUAUGGCUCAACCAUAGCAAGGGCCCUGGAUACUGCCGGCCUCGAGGGAGGUAGGGGCGCGCGGAACUCCGGUGGAGCGGUGAAAUGCGUGAGAUAUCGGAAGGACACCGGGUGGCGAAAGGCGGCACGCUGGGCCUCUUCGUGA
rnacentral:rRNA from 1 species